GAGGGUAUAGCUCCGUGGCAGAGCACAUGCUUAGCAUGCAUGAGGUCCUGGAUUCAAUCCACAGUGCCUCCG
rnacentral:tRNA from 1 species